CCAGCAAGACCAGCUGUACACGUGGGCAGCGGUCAGCCAGCCCCCCACUCCAUGGAACACUUUGAGGGCCGGGCCCCCUCCCUGGGCACCUGAAGACCCUGUGGCCCCCACCCAGACCUGUGGGAGACGAUAGACCAGGCCUCAUGUACACCGAGGAGGAACACCAGGCAGCCAUCUUGGGGCUGAAGAGACAUCAGAGAGAAGAAGUCGGCCAACUUCAGGAGGAGUCAGUGCUGAAAACAGUGAAGCUGAAAGAGGAGCACGUCAAUGUGAUCCAGCAGUUAGAACAGACCAUUGAGGACCUGCGGACUAAGAUAGCUGAGCUGGAGGAACAGCACCCCUGCUGGACAGAGAUAUUAUUAGCAUUAAGGAGCCGGAGGCUAGUGUGGAGGGGGUCUGUACCGGGAGGUCUGUCAUGUAGACCUACAAACUGAGGAGAGGAUAGUGAAGGAGGUCUGUCAUGUAGACCUACAGACUGAAGAGAGGAUGGUGAAGGUCUGUCAUGUAGACCUACAGACUGAAGAGAGGAUAGUGAAGGAGGUCUGUCAUGUAGACCUACAGACUGAAGAGAGGAUGGUGAAGGAGGUCUGUCAUGUAGACCUACAGACUGAAGAGAGGAUGGUGAA
ensembl:lncRNA